GCCCGGUUAGCUCAGCUGGUUAGAGCGUCGUACUAAUAACUCCUCUGGAAUUACCUGGUAUGCGAAGGUCAACAGUUCAAUCCUGUUACUGGGCA
rnacentral:tRNA from 1 species